AGUAAUGGGGAAGUUUUAUACAAAUGAUGAAAUAAUUCAGUGUUAAAAGGAGAAGUGAUUUAAUUAACACACGCGCGCUCCCGACACGUCCCGUCCGUAUUACAGCGCGAGCUUCAUGCGCGCUGAAGAGAGAGAGAGAGUAAGAGAGAGAGAGAGAAGACACGGAAAUCACGGAUAAGAGUUGUGUUUAAGGAUGAAGGUACAGUUUGCUCCGUUAAAUAUCCCAUUGAGGAGACGCUUACAGACGGCUGCCGUGCUGCAGUGGGUCUUCUCCUUCCUCGCGUUUGCUCAAUGCUGUCUGGCAGCCUUUGUGCUGCUCUGUGUCAGUGAUUGGUGGAUUUUGGCCGCUCUGUAUGCUGGUUGGCUAUAUUUAGACAGGGACACGCCCACAAGUGGAGGUCGAAGGUCACAAUGGGUCAGGAACUGGACUGUGUGGAAAUACUUCAGGGAUUAUUUCCCCAUCUCGUUGGUGAAGACAGUGGAUUUGGACCCUAAGUGUAAUUAUCUCUUCGGCUUUCACCCCCAUGGUGUUCUUGUAGCUGGUGCUUUUGGGAAUUUCUGUACAGAAGCUUCACAUUUCUCCGAGCUGUUUCCGGGCCUCAGGCCGUACCUGCUCAUGCUGCCCUUCUGGUUCAGAGUACCGUUCUUCAGAGACUACAUCAUGUGGGGAGGUUUGGUGUCGAGUGAGAAGGCGAGUGUGAGUUAUCUCCUCAGUCAUCCAGGGGGCGGGGCUGCAGCAGUUGUGGCAGUGGGUGGAGCUCCAGAGAGUCUGGAGGCGCGGCCUGGAGCACUGACUCUACAACUGCUACAGAGGAAAGGCUUCAUUAAACUCGCACUAAAACAUGGAGCUGGGUUGGUUCCUGUGUUUUCCUUUGGGGAAAAUGAACUGUUUGAUCAGAUGGAGAACCCUGUAGGCUCCGCCCUCCGCCGGGUUCAGGACCGCCUGCAGAGGGUCAUGGGAGUGGCUUUGCCACUGUUUCACGCUAGAGGAGUUUUUCAGUACAGCUUUGGCUUGUUACCCUAUAGAAGACCUGUAUAUACUGUGGUUGGAAGGCCGAUACGAGUCGAUCUGAAUCCGUGUCCCACUAAAGAGGACAUCGAGUCUCUUCACCAGCGCUACAUGGAGGGUCUAACUCAGCUUUUUGAGGAGAACAAGGAGAAGUACGGCAUCAAUAAAGACAAACACCUUAAAUUUAUCUGAAACAUGCCUGUCUGUCUCUCCAUCUGUCAACCUGUCUGUCUCUCCAUCUGUCUUAUCUGUCUGUCUCUCUGUCUGUCUCUCCAUCCUUCUGUCUGUCUGUCUCUCUGUGUGUGAUGUAAAGUGAUGUGUGUUAUCUGAACCCUUUAAGGUUCUGUAACACGUCAGAGUUUAAUAAAGACUUUUUAAAUUGUUUGAAUUCA